AGAGUUUGAUCCUGGCUCAGGACGAACGCUGGCGGCGUGCCUAAUACAUGCAAGUCGAACGAGAAUUUUUUACACCGAGUGCUUGCACUCACCGUAAGAAAUUCGAGUGGCGGACGGGUGAGUAACACGUGGGUAACCUGCCCAAAAGAAGGGGAUAACAUUUGGAAACAAAUGCUAAUACCGUAUAACCAUGAUGACCGCAUGGUCAUUAUGUGAAAGGUGGUUUUGCUAUCGCUUUUGGAUGGACCCGCGGCGUAUUAACUAGUUGGUAGGGUAACGGCCUACCAAGGUAAUGAUACGUAGCCGAGUUGAGAGACUGAUCGGCCACAAUGGGACUGAGACACGGCCCAUACUCCUACGGGAGGCAGCAGUAGGGAAUCUUCCACAAUGGGCGCAAGCCUGAUGGAGCAACGCCGCGUGAAUGAAGAAGGUCUUCGGAUCGUAAAAUUCUGUUGUUAGAGAAGAAUAUGAGUAAUAGUAACUGAUUAUUCACUGACGGUAUCUAACCAGCAAGUCACGGCUAACUACGUGCCAGCCGCCGCGGUAAUUC
rnacentral:rRNA from 1 species